rnacentral:rRNA from 1 species
UGGGGAAUUUUGGACAAUGGGCGAAAGCCUGAUCCAGCAAUGCCGCGUGUGUGAAGAAGGCCUUCGGGUUGUAAAGCACUUUUGUCCGGAAAGAAAUCCUUGGCUCUAAUACAGUCGGGGGAUGACGGUACCGGAAGAAUAAGCACCGGCUAACUACGUGCCAGCAGCCGCGGUAAUACGUAGGGUGCAAGCGUUAAUCGGAAUUACUGGGCGUAAAGCGUGCGCAGGCGGUUUGCUAAGACCGAUGUGAAAUCCCCGGGCUCAACCUGGGAACUGCAUUGGUGACUGGCAGGCUAGAGUAUGGCAGAGGGGGGUAGAAUUCCACGUGUAGCAGUGAAAUGCGUAGAGAUGUGGAGGAAUACCGAUGGCGAAGGCAGCCCCCUGGGCCAAUACUGACGCUCAUGCACGAAAGCGUGGGGGACAAACAGGAUUAGAUACCCCUGGGUAGUCCACGCCCUAAACGAUGUCAACUAGUUGUUGGGGAUUCAUUUCCUUAGUAACGUAGCUAACGCGUGAAGUUGACCGCCUGGGGAGUACGGUCGCAAGAUUAAAACUC